rnacentral:piRNA from 1 species
UGAGUCUGCCCCAGCACACUGGUUC